AAAUACUAACCAGCCAGAGAAACAGAAUCCUAACUAUUUCUGAGGAAACUGCAGGUCCAAAAUGUGGCUGCUUUUAACAAUGGCAAGUUUGAUAUCUGUACUGGGGACUACACAUGGUUUCUUUGGAAAAUUACAUCCUGAAAGCCCUGAAGUGACUAUGAACAUUAGUCAGAUGAUUACUUAUUGGGGAUACCCAAAUGAAGAAUACGAAGUUGUGACUGAAGAUGGUUAUAUUCUUGAAGUCAACAGAAUUCCUUAUGGGAAGAAAAAUUCAGGGAAUACAGGCCAGAGACCUGUUGUGUUUUUGCAGCAUGGUUUGCUUGCAUCAGCCACAAACUGGAUUUCCAACCUGCCGAACAACAGCCUUGCCUUCAUUCUGGCAGAUGCUGGUUAUGAUGUGUGGCUGGGCAACAGCAGAGGAAACACCUGGGCUAGAAGAAACUUGUACUAUUCACCAGAUUCAGUUGAAUUCUGGGCUUUCAGGUAAACAAAAGGGACAAUUAAAAAUAAACACUGGGCUUUAAAAGCAUAGGCAUUUGCCCCUUCUAAUCCAGUCCCAUUUUAACAAAUUACACUCCAAGUAGGAGGAUAAACAAGUCAUUUUCAUUCUAAUCCAUUUUUGGAUUCUUCCAUGUACCUCAUUCCUAGGAUAGCUUUUCCUUCAAACUUUCUGUGAUCUCAGGAGUCUCCAUUAGGGAUUCCCUGAAAGUGAUUUUCCAAAUGGAAUGAACAAUAUGGCUGAAGCAAGGAAACUCACAGCCCCUGGAAAAUUCCAAAGGAAUGUCCAUAUGGAUUCAAGAGAGAAGUAAAAACCCAUUUGGGGGUAGGAGAACAGCAAUCUGAAUCAUCAUUAAUAGGAGGGGUGGGGAGAGUGAAAUUCAGAUAUCAUGGAGAGAUUAUCAUGGGCUUCUCUCACUGGUCUUCUUGUGCCUUAUUCCUGGAAAUUACUUAUGGAGGUAGAGAACAGAACAAAACCUGGCUGCUGAUGCUAAGGCAUGAAAGUGUUCCAAGAGUCCUAGGAGCUGAAAGGAAACCUGUGUGUCCCAGGUGUAGCGGGAAAAGGGAAAAUGACAUGAGUGAAGACUGAGGUGCAGAUGGGGCAGUAGUGGUGAUAGUGAGAGCCUUGGGCCUCAUUCUGAGUGCACUGAGAAGUUUUAAAAAGAGGAGUGGCAUAAUACAGUUUUCAUUUUCAAAAUAUCAUGUUGGCUGAUUUGGGAAAAAUAAAAUAGAGAAAGAUAGGAUUUAUAUUAAAUGACAUGGAACACA
rnacentral:sRNA from 1 species